rnacentral:rRNA from 1 species
GACGUAGGGCGCGAGCGUUGUCCGGAUUUAUUGGGCGUAAAGAGCUCGUAGGCGGCUUGUCGCGUCGAAUGUGAAAUCUCAGGGCUCAACUCUGACAUUGCAUUCGAUACGGGCAGGCUCGAGUUCGGUAGGGGAGACUGGAAUUCCUGGUGUAGCGGUGAAAUGCGCAGAUAUCAGGAGGAACACCAACAGCGAAGGCAGAUCUCUGGGACGUAACUGACGCUGAGACGCGAAAGCGUGGGGAGCAAACAGG